rnacentral:rRNA from 1 species
AUUGAACGCUGGCGGCAUGCCUUACACAUGCAAGUCGAACGGCAGCACGGGUGCUUGCACCUGGUGGCGAGUGGCGAACGGGUGAGUAAUACAUCGGAACAUGUCCUGUAGUGGGGGAUAGCCCGGCGAAAGCCGGAUUAAUACCGCAUACGAUCUACGGAUGAAAGCGGGGGACCUUCGGGCCUCGCGCUAUAGGGUUGGCCGAUGGCUGAUUAGCUAGUUGGUGGGGUAAAGGCCUACCAAGGCGACGAUCAGUAGCUGGUCUGAGAGGACGACCAGCCACACUGGGACUGAGACACGGCCUAGACUCCUACGGGAGGCAGCAGUGGGGAAUUUUGGACAAUGGGCGAAAGCCUGAUCCAGCAAUGCCGCGUGUGUGAAGAAGGCCUUCGGGUUGUAAAGCACUUUUGUCCGGAAAGAAAUCCUUGGCCCUAAUACGGUCGGGGGAUGACGGUACCGGAAGAAUAAGCACCGGCUAACUACGUG